rnacentral:rRNA from 1 species
GUAAGCUAAUCUCUUAAAGCCGUUCUCAGUUCGGACUGUAGGCUGCAACUCGCCUACACGAAGUCGGAAUCGCUAGUAAUCGCGGAUCAGCAUGCCGCGGUGAAUACGUUCCCGGGCCUUGUACACACCGCCCGUCACACCAUGGAAGUUUGCAAUGCCCAAAGUCGGUGGCCUAACCAUUUGGAGGGAACCGCCUAAGGCAGGGCAGAUGACUGGGGUGAAGUCGUAACAAGGUACC